GAUGAACGCUGGCGGCGUGCCUAAUACAUGCAAGUCGAGCGAACAGACGAGGAGCUUGCUCCUCAGACGUUAGCGGCGGACGGGUGAGUAACACGUGGAUAACCUACCUAUAAGACUGGGAUAACUUCGGGAAACCGGAGCUAAUACCGGAUAAUAUAUUGAACCGCAUGGUUCAAUAGUGAAAGACGGUUUUGCUGUCACUUAUAGAUGGAUCCGCGCCGCAUUAGCUAGUUGGUAAGGUAACGGCUUACCAAGGCGACGAUGCGUAGCCGACCUGAGAGGGUGAUCGGCCACACUGGAACUGAGACACGGUCCAGACUCCUACGGGAGGCAGCAGUAGGGAAUCUUCCGCAAUGGGCGAAAGCCUGACGGAGCAACGCCGCGUGAGUGAUGAAGGUCUUCGGAUCGUAAAACUCUGUUAUUAGGGAAGAACAAAUGUGUAAGUAACUAUGCACGUCUUGACGGUACCUAAUCAGAAAGCCACGGCUAACUACGUG
rnacentral:rRNA from 1 species